rnacentral:lncRNA from 1 species
CUUCACCACUACCUUUUCGUAAAGCUCCAUCUUUUGAUCUAAAAGAUUAAGGGUGAUCCAAAGAAAAGAGCUUGAAUCAGCCAUCCAAAGCCUUCGACGCAAGCUAGCACUCCCGAGAAGGACGAUCCGAUCGGAGCUUCGAGUGGAUGAUCUGUAGAGGUUGGAUGAUCUAUGCGGCUGCUCAAUAUCAGAAAGAGCCUCGUACCAUAUCUA